rnacentral:tRNA from 1 species
UAUAAGUCAGUAUUUGAUGUACUUUAGAUUUUGAUUUUAAAAGAAUAAAUUUACUUUUAUGCUUAUAG